rnacentral:rRNA from 1 species
GUCUGCGGCCACAUCACCUUGGACACACCAGAUCUCAUCUGAUCUCGGAUGCUAAGCAGAACGGAGCCCAGGUAGCACUUAGAGAAAUGGAGACAGUCAAGGAAGGCAGGCU